ensembl:misc_RNA 7SK 7SK RNA
AAAUAUAAGGGUGACCUGGCAGUGACCCUACCACACCAUUGAUUGCCUGGGACCAUUAGACUGAUGUGGUGGCCCUGGGUCUUCUUUCUCCCUCACCUCUGUGUGCGUCAGGCUGUAAGUUGUCGGCUCAGACAACGUGAAUGACCUUCCCCAAUAAAGGAUUCAUCGUCGGUAGUUCCAAGCAGUUGCAAGCCCUGCUCAGUGAGUCCUCAAGAUGGGGUGUUUUCUG